UGUUAGAGAUUUCAUUCAUUUAUAUUGUUAAAAACUAGCUUGAUUGAUGGAAUAACCAGAUAGUGACACGUGACAUGCCAUGCGUACCUCAUUUUGAUGUAUAGAGACAAGUUUUAAAAAACAGGAAUUGAUGAAAUUUUUAACA
rfam:Gossypium hirsutum cultivar TM-1 chromosome 13, whole genome shotgun sequence